AGUCCGCACGAGCGCACCCCUAUCCUUAGUUGCUAGCAGGUAAUGCUGAGAACUCUAAGGAGACUGCCGGUGAUAAACCGGAGGAAGGUGGGGGCGACGCUCAAGUCAUCAUGGCCCUUACGUGUAGGGCUACACACGUGCUACAAUGGCGCAUACAGAGUGCUGCGAACUCGCGAGAGUAAGCGAAUCACUUAAAGUGCGUCGUAGUCCGGAUUGGAGUCUGCAACUCGACUCCAUGAAGUCGGAAUCGCUAGUAAUCGCAUAUCAGAAUGAUGCGGUGAAUACGUUCCCGGGCCUUGUACACACCGCCCGUCACACCAUGGGAGUGGGUUGCUCCAGAAGUGGAUAGUCUAACCUUCGGGAGGACGUUCACCACGGAGUGAUUCAUGACUGGGGUGAAGUCGUAACAAGGUAGCCCUAGGGGAACCUGGGGCUGGAUCACCUCCCU
rnacentral:rRNA from 1 species